AUGGAGACCUUGCCGCCAUUACCCGCUCGUGGAUGGAACUCCCUCUUCGACCGUCUCUUUGGCGGCCGCCGGCGCCGGUGCCCUGCUCUCCCGCUCCCUGUCCACAGUUCCGUCGGUCAUUCUCUCCGUACUUACAGGGAUAUUUACAACAAGCCCAUUGGCUGCGUCAUCUUGGAGGAAAUUAUGCAACGCACACUGUCCUAUUUGCGUAGCAUUGAUGAAAAUUUGGAGUAUUGGAGCUCCAAGAAUUGUUGGGGUUCAUCAUAUUCACAGACAAUGUAUUUCAUGAUAUUUCAAAGAGGUCCAGGUGCUUUUGUUGAAGCAACAUGCCCACGUCUGACUGGACUUGGGAACAACGGAGGUCCAUCGCAGAGCCUUUUCGAGUCUGCAUAUAAUAUUAUCUCAACAAACAUUCAUGUCCUGAAGAGUAUCAAUCGCUGCUUGGCUGUUUUUCUUGCUGAGGUUUAUCAGCAAGCAGAUAUAGGCAAAGAAGGAUUAACUGGAAGUCAUCGUGAAUCCCUAUGUACACUAUUUAUUGUUUUGAACCAUGUCUUUCCCAAGUUGGAGGAAUUACACAGAAAGGGCCAAACUCUUCUAUUCACAAAUGAUGAAAACCCAUCUGAACUUCAAUUCAAAAGAUUGCCAGAAGUUGACAUUAAUAGUUCACAAUGGACAGAUGCAUUCUCAGCAAAUGCUAUAGGUUUGAUCUAUCAAAACCUCGAGAAUCUAGAUAAUUUUGUUUCCACUUUGCUUUCAAGGCAUAAAAAACCAACACAUAUGACCUUAUACUGGUUCCCCUACACAUGUGGAGCAAUUGGCUUCUCGUUAUGCUCUCUAUGGCUAUUACGCCAUAGUAGCUUGAUGGGAAGUUCUGACGACUAUAACUUGGUUCAACAUGCUAAGAAGUCCAUUGCUCGAUUCUGGAGUGAUCCCAUUGAACCAUGGGCGCGAUAUGCCGAUCGCGCAGAAAAUGUUCCUGAGCUCUCCCAAGUCCAGGCAAUGGCAUCCUCAAUGCCCGAGAGCCACCAAUCUGUCCAAAAUCGGGCCAUCUCCCCAUCUCCAAGCGUGCACCUUGUCGCUGCCUUGUAUAUUCCCAUCGAUUCAUCUGAUACUUGUAUGUUAAACUCACUCCACGGCCUGGUGGAGUCGGACGAAGCUAGAAGGCCAGAGAUCCAUGCCAUCCAUUUAUUGUUGAAUCCCAUGUCGGCCCAUCAUCCGACGAUUGAUCCUGUCAUUGCUCUUGUCCGACGGGUCCGAAAUCAGAUUGAAAACAGCUGCAGGUAUGCCUGCCUGGCCUCCUCGCCAAUCACCUCUCCUUCUCUUGAUCCGCGUCGGGAUGGUCAAAUUCAUCAUCGCCAUCUCCAUCGUCGCCGGAAGAGGGACCAGAGCUCUGCACCGUAUUCUCCGUGUUCACUGUGUGAAUGGUAA
rnacentral:rRNA from 1 species